CACAGACUCGAGCUGAAGUCCACCUUAUUCUGUCUGCUGUUAAUGAUCUCUAAUCUUCACGGCUUUACAUGAAAAAUGAUGCUCUGUGCCAUUAAAUAUUGGAUACUGUGCCUUUCUGUGUGGAACUUUCUACGUACUAAUGGUGAAAAUACCUGCAGAAAUGAACUCGUAAACCGCAUCAACAUCUCUACUGAUCUGCAGUCUGAUGUUCUGCUGCCCUGUAACUUCAACUCAAGCCUCCUCGGGUCAGAUCUGACUGCAGAUAUAGCAGCAGUGUGGAGUUAUAAAAAUAUAACAGAGGAUAAUCUACUGGAGAUCAGUCUGCAGGGUGUAGUAAUGUUCUGGAAUAACAGAGGGGGACGAAUUAACCCGUUCCCUAAACUCUCAACAUCUGGAAACUUCUCCAUCCUCCUCCAUAAAGUGAAUAAAUCUGAUCUGGGUCUGUACCGCUGUGAACUGUUUAACGGGACCAACUGCAGAAUUGCUUAUCAGGAAAUGGUCUUAGGUAAGAGAUACUGAACAUUCAGGGCCCAUUUGGGUGCCCUAAGCAUAAAUACUUUGUGAUGCCCCCCAAAAAUUAACAAUAAUUAAAUACGUCAAAUUCUGGUUUAUGCAAAAACAAAUGGACACUUUUCUUAAGUUUGACUGCCUAUUACUCCAAAAUGUUAUAUUAAUUUUACUUGAUACUUAUAUUUUUAAUAGUAUAGAAAGAUGUCUUCUAG
rnacentral:lncRNA from 1 species